ACUGAAUAGAAGUGAUUGUUUUGACACAUGGUUGUGUUCCAUUUACACACCCAUUCUGCCACCUCACAGUGAGGCUUCCCUGAAAUGCUGGGGAAGGAGGAGCACCCAGAUGUGGCUGAAAGGAAGCCAGAGCAGGAAGCACAGGUCAGAAGAGGAGGGGGUAUUCUUUAAGUGGAAACUGUGCUGAGCUGUGAGGUCAGGCCAGAGUGGGGCUCCAUGGUACCAGCCCCUCCCUAGGGGUUUAACCUCAGCCAAGUUAUUUGGCGUCUCCAUGCCCAGCCUCCUAAUCUCAGGAAGCCUGUCCUGUGGCUGAGCUUCCUCGGCCCCAGAGGAUGCUGCACCUGAUCCGUGAUUCCUUCCUGACCUUUGGUUAUGCUGCCUAGAUCAGUUCCCCUGGUAACCUGACAAAGAGCUGAAGAGAUGCUCUCUGGUUGAUCUCAGACCCCAUGGAGGCAUACCAUGUGAUUAAGAAGCUGUGUGUUUGGAUUCUUCGCUGCUGGAGGAGGACUUAUGGGCAUAACAGGAAGAGGGUGACGCCUGCUAUUUAUUUAAAUAGAAGGAAAAAGAGCCUGAUUCCAGAGCACUUAAAUAACAAAGGCACUUCCCAGCCACUCAGCUUCCAUAGGAAAGACGUCUCGCAUGAUGGGAAGACAUGGCAAUGCGGGUCAUUUCCAUGGGGAGUUCCUGCAACCAACUCAACUAACAAAAUGACGAAACUACAACCAUUUGACAGGUGGAAGAAAAGGUGUUCCUGAACUGGAGGCAGAGCAUACUUUUCACCUUAAUUUUUGGCCUUUUGAGAACCCUUUCUUCAGUAUCAAUUGGCUACAAGUUUGUUUGCCACAUAUUUCAACUGGCGUUAGUUGAUACCUCAAAAAUGGUUGUAAUUCCUAUUUUGGAGUGUGUUUCCUGUUGUUACUAUGAAAUCCAAGGCAUUUAACUACUUGGGUAAAAACCGAACAAGGGGUAGUUUCUUUCACUGUUUUCCUUUUUUCCACAAAU
rnacentral:lncRNA from 13 species